UACGAGUGGUCCAAGCGUUAUCCGGAAUUAUUGGGCGUAAAGGAUGUGUAGGUGGUUGUAUUAGUCUGGUGUCUAACCUCUGUGCUUCACAUGGAGACAGCAUUGGAAACGGUACGGCUAGAGUAUGUUAGGGGUAAGCGGAACUAGUAGUGUAGGGGUGAAAUCCGUUGAUAUUAUUGGGAACACCAAAAGCGAAGGCAGCUUACUGGAACAUUACUGACACUGAAACAUGAAAGCGUGGGUAGCGAAUGGG
rnacentral:rRNA from 1 species